CGUAUAUACUGCCAUCGUGGGUAGCAUAUAUUUAUGCUUGCCUCGUCAGUUUCUCUUUGUCCUCUUUGUCCCGGGGCAACCGCGGCGCUCUCUUGCCGCACCACCACCAUCACCAUCAACACCGCCAGCCUGCUCCAAACCUGGGAGUGGAAGAGUAAUGAUCUGACGCACGGGCGCCAGCCGUUGAUACGUGAUGAAAAAUCAAAAUCACUUCAUUUGAUCACAGCAUUAACGAGCGGAUUUAGGAGCUAUCGUUCUAAAAUUGUCGCUCGGAGUUUUAAGCAAACUGGCUUGGCGUAAAGCGCCACGUGGAUCGAACAGUGGGGAUCGGAAGAACCGGUGGAAGAUGCGUAGCUGGAACAUAAUGACAAUCGUGGGGAUAGGGAGCCUUUUUCCCUUUAGCGUGUGUAUUGUUUCAUAAUAUCCAAUAGUGCUUUAACUGAUUGGAAUAUAAGUUUCCCGUCAUUCCCAAUGACGUUGAAAUAAAAUGUUGAAAUUUUAAAGCCAAUUCUAAAUUUGUUUUGUUAAUAAUUUCAGCUCCACACUACGCCCGAAAGUAAUUCUGCUUUGUGCAAUGAGUACUGUUUGAACAGCUUUUCGCACAAUUGCCCGUCUAGACAAUGGGGUAAACAAAUGUUGCAACAAUUGUGUUGCGUUCUCAAAGACGCAGCUUUUUGUGUAUUGAUACAGCUUUAUUUUGUACUGUUUCUGCUUUGCAAUGCAAAUCUGUUUUUAAAGGUUGGGUUUAAAAUCAAACUCCUCAGCAGAACCACUAACCAGUUCUGUCCAGUGCGGCGUGUGCGAAGCCAAAGCAAAGUUAAGAUGAGAUUUAUAGUCACCGUUUUUGCCAUCGUUACGUGUUGGCUAGCAUUGAUACGUCAUAGCGAUGCACAAUCGGGCGUUAUAACUACUGGCUGUGGUGUUUUGCCCAAGUGUGGUGUGAAUCAAGUAGCUGCCUGCUGUGAACCGUGCUACUCCGUGUACUGCUUCUACAUCAAUCGAAACUGUGGACGAAACUGCGUGAAGGGUUGCUACUGUAAGCUGGGCUUCGUCCAGAUGAAACCGAACGGACCGUGCGUGAACAAGCUGUAUUGUGGUAGAGGCAGAAAAUAAAUUUUAAAU